UUCUCCCGUACCCACAUGUCCAUGUUCGGUUUCCCCCGUCCGAGAAGGUGCCUCUCCCCACGAUCCCAUCGGAAGCCCACGCACGCACAUACUCUUGCACCCUCGUGCCUCUUCCUAGGAUGCACCCCCCCAAUCUCCCCACCCCUCCCAUUCUCCUUUCCAUGUGGUCGCAGCUGGUCUCCUCUACCACUCCCAUUUUGCACCCCAUGCCGCCGGAACGACCACCACCUCAGGGCACUGUCGCUUCUCAGCUUCUCCCCUGGUGGCAACGCAACAACUGUUCCGCGGGCUGUUGCGGCACCGGCGGCUUAUGCUGGUUCUGGGUACGGGCGUCGCCGCCUUCGCCUAUGUUCCACCAACGACUAUCUGGUGCGCCGGCGUUGUCCCCUCUGGGUGUGCCGAUCUGAACGAAAGGCAACACGUCGGGGAAGCGGCGGCUUUCACUUCCGCCGACAAAACCUUAUCGGUUGAGGGGCGACGGCUCAACAACGGCACGAUCUAUUUCGACCAGGCAGUAGGAUGAUGAAAUCCCUUGCACUCAUGCUUCUAAGAUUGAUUUGGUUUACUUUCACGCGUGUUUCUGUUUUGCAGGAGAGGAUGAGACAAAAGGCAGCUGGAGUUAGUGCGCAUGUCCUGGGAACAUCAGGAUCCACCUCCCAUUUGAGAUGGCGCUCUAGAUAGGCAUCCUAUAUAUGUCACAUCUCGGCAGUCAAGGAUCACUGAGAUGGACAUUGUGAGGAAUCCUCGAGGGCACUAGCAAAACAAGGAAACACUAAUAUCAAAUUUGAUAAUCAGAGGAUUAGCUAGAUAUCAAGAUGGAAAUAGAACAAAGGAACCGAUGCACUACUAUCUCUGUCUUGAGGUAACACUGGCUGUUAAUUAUUUACGAGAAGUUUAGUUUUUUCUCUCCUCUCAGGAUAUGUAGUUUCACUUUUCCUCUUUCAUGGAUGAUCACCUCAUUUAUUUUCACAGACGGAAUGAUGGAGCUAUUGCUCUGACUUGGAGGUAAAUUAAGUUAGGCCAUGUCCAACGUGGGUGUCAGCUUUAGCUUCCAGGUCGACGACGCUUAUUUUUCUUUUCUCGGUGCCUAACUAGUCGUGUAUUGUCAUGGGAUGGUUGGCGCGGAUAUGGCCAUAGUUGUAGUUUGUUGAUUACGGAUUUGAUCACUUCGAGUUCUUUUUCUUUUUCCUUACAUAGGGAUGGCUUUGGUCUUAUAUGACUUUGCUAUUCGCCAACGUGUUUUUGUGUGUGUGCGUUUGUGUUGGUUGUGUGCAUCUUAGUUAUGUAGAGGCCGGGUGUAUGCGUAUUGUGUUUGUAUCAUCUUGAUGUUUUAUUUUUAGUCAAUAAAUCCUCCCUUUGUCGGAAUUAGUCGUCAGGUGUGAGCUAUAUUCUACGGUGAGGGAUGAUUUUUUUUCAUCGCACAAGUACCUCCAAAGUUGGACUCCUAGACCUGCAAGCGCAUGCAACCUGGUGUCGCUGACGCAGCUGCACCCUCUUGUGGGCGUCGACAUCCGCUUCGGCCCCUCCGGCUGCGCAUCUUGCUACUGUGUUUGUUAGAGUUCUGACUGUCGUUGCUUCUCAUGGGGUCACAAUGAGGUUAUGAUGGAGGUUAAAUAGACCUAGAGGUAGAUGGAGGUGAAGCCUGUGGUGUCUUCUAUGCAAACACUCCCAUUGCCAAUGUAGGAGUAGACAAGACGAAGCUAACAAAGCACACGAAGUGCGACACGUGUUGUAGAAAAUGUUGGAAUCGAUAGGGAGCAGUAGCAGCAGGGGGAACCAAAUUUACUACAGAUCAGCAAAUGCGGGGACUUACUUCCGUGUUGUACUGCGCGCCUGCACCGGCAUACACUUACUUCAUGUUAUUCUGAGAUUGUUCUCUGGUACAACUAUUUCUCUUGGACGAGAGCCCUGUACUUAGCCUUCCUAUGGAUUUGCCCUUCUAUUUGAGGGCUAUCUGUGGGAAAUCGUAUGACUCAUUUGUUUUAUAAUUAUCCAUA